AUUGAACGCUGGCGGCAGGCCUAACACAUGCAAGUCGAACGAGUGGCGGACGGGUGAGUAAUGUCUGGGAAACUGCCCGAUGGAGGGGGAUAACUACUGGAAACGGUAGCUAAUACCGCAUAACACCGGAUGUGCCCAAAUGGGAUUAGCUAGUAGGGGGGGUAACGGCUCACCUAGGCGACGAUCCCUAGAUGGGCUGAGAGGAUGACCAGCCACAAUGGAACUGAGACACGGUCCAGACUCCUACGGGAGGCAGCAGUGGGGAAGAUUGCACAAGUGGAACAGGCCUGAUGCAGCCAUGCCGCGUAUAUGAAGAAGGCCUUCGGGUUGUAAAGUACUUUCAGCGAGGAGGCGUUACUCGCAGAAGAAGCACCGGCUAACUCCGUGCCAGCUGCCGCGGUAAUUC
rnacentral:rRNA from 1 species